GAUAAUACUUGAAGUUUAAAUGGAUGGUGUGGAUGAGAUUGUCUUGUUGCCAUCUGAUUCUGAUUGGAGUAAGCUAGCUGGCGCCUUUGAACAAUUCAAACUGAGGCUGAGCUGUGAUUGGCUCUCCUUAGGAUCCUCCUAAUCUGCCCAUCUAUGUGUCCAGAUACAUAAUGAAGGCUGCCUUCUCUUUACAGCAACAGCCAGCCUGUCUCUUUACUAAAGUAGCCAAUCACACUCCAAAGGGAUCUUCUUGAUACUCCUUUGAUGCCUUAGGAUCAGAACCUUAUCCCUUCGUCCAGCACACUCUUAUGCUGCCCUAUUCUUGCACACAGACUUUGCACAAGCUUCCCGGGAUGUCUGGCUGCGCCCUAUUUUUGCACCAACUUCAUAUCUUCUUAAAUGGUUGAGUUAUGCACUUUUGGGAUCGACCUGGUACGUACGGAUCCGUACAGUCCGUACAACGUCCGUACCAAAUCCGUACUACCUCACCCUAACAUUGUACACUCGUCCAUUUGCUCCUCAACACUCUUCUAAGUCUCUCCUAGACUUUGCCCUUGCUUAGAACAUCCAUCAGAUCACUUCUAGACACCAUUAGAUGCUUCAUAACUCUUGAUAGGCAAUCUCUAAAGCUCUUGCCCUAUCUUUGUACAAGUCACAUCUCAACUCCACACCUUUGUCUUCUCUAUUUCUUUUCUUCAAGUUAACACUCCCC
rnacentral:lncRNA from 1 species